rnacentral:rRNA from 1 species
CAUGCAAGUCGAACGGUAACAUUUCUAGCUUGCUAGAAGAUGACGAGUGGCGGACGGGUGAGUAAUGCUUGGGAACUUGCCUUUGCGAGGGGGAUAACAGUUGGAAACGACUGCUAAUACCGCAUAAUGUCUUCGGACCAAACGGGGCUUCGGCUCCGGCGCAAAGAGAGGCCCAAGUGAGAUUAGCUAGUUGGUAAGGUAACGGCUUACCAAGGCGACGAUCUCUAGCUGUUCUGAGAGGAAGAUCAGCCACACUGGGACUGAGACACGGCCCAGACUCCUACGGGAGGCAGCAGUGGGGAAUAUUGCACAAUGGGGGAAACCCUGAUGCAGCCAUGCCGCGUGUGUGAAGAAGGCCUUCGGGUUGUAAAGCACUUUCAGUUGUGAGGAAAAGUUAGUAGUUAAUACCUGCUAGCCGUGACGUUAACAACAGAAGAAGCACCGGCUAACUCCGUGCCAGCAGCCGCGGUAAUACGGAGGGUGCGAGCGUUAAUCGGAAUUACUGGGCGUAAAGCGCACGCAGGCGGUUUGUUAAGCUAGAUGUGAAAGCCCCGGGCUCAACCUGGGAUGGUCAUUUAGAACUGGCAGACUAGAGUCUUGGAGAGGGGAGUGGAAUUCCAGGUGUAGCGGUGAAAUGCGUAGAUAUCUGGAGGAACAUCAGUGGCGAAGGCGACUCCCUGGCCAAAGACUGACGCUCAUGUGCGAAAGUGUGGGUAGCGAACAGGAUUAGAUACCCUGGUAGUCCACACCGUAAACGCUGUCUACUAGCUGUGUGUGCCUUUAAGGCGUGCGUAGCGAAGCUAACGCGCUAAGUAGACCGCCUGGGGAGUACGGCCGCAAGGUUAAAACUCAAAUGAAUUGACGGGGGCCCGCACAAGCGGUGGAGCAUGUGGUUUAAUUCGAUGCAACGCGAAGAACCUUACCUACACUUGACAUGCUGAGAAGUUACUAGAGAUAGUUUCGUGCCUUCGGGA